rnacentral:rRNA from 1 species
AUUGAACGCUGGCGGCAGGCCUAACACAUGCAAGUCGAGCGGUUGAAGGGAGCUUGCUCCUGGAUUCAGCGGCGGACGGGUGAGUAAUGCCUAGGAAUCUGCCUGGUAGUGGGGGAUAACGUCCGGAAACGGGCGCUAAUACCGCAUACGUCCUGAGGGAGAAAGUGGGGGAUCUUCGGACCUCACGCUAUCAGAUGAGCCUAGGUCGGAUUAGCUAGUUGGUGGGGUAAAGGCCUACCAAGGCGACGAUCCGUAACUGGUCUGAGAGGAUGAUCAGUCACACUGGAACUGAGACACGGUCCAGACUCCUACGGGAGGCAGCAGUGGGGAAGAUUGGACAAUGGGCGAAAGCCUGAUCCAGCCAUGCCGCGUGUGUGAAGAUGGUCUUCGUAUUGUAGAGCACUUUAAGUUGGGAGGAAGGGCAGUAAGUUAAUACCUUGCUGUGUUGACGUUACCAACAGAAUAAGCACCGGCUAACUUCGUG